UAUGGUUCUACAAAAUAUUGUGCUUAUAUUCAUUUUCUACAAAAAACGUUCCAGGCAAAUCAUCCAAAUAAAAUUCUGAAAGACAAGAAUUUAAUUUUAAAGACAACAUUGAGGUGUAUGUGUGUGUUGGUUUUUUUUUAACCUAUAGUCAAUUUCAAGGUUUAUUUUGAAGUUUGAAUUUAAAUCUCGAAGAAGAAUAGGUUUAAAAAUUCGGGAAUGGCUUAAAAGAAUUUAGGCUUAGUUUGAAGAGAGAUAGGCGUAGACUUAAAAAGAAAUCAGGGCUAGUUUAAAAAACUCAGGAUACGCUUAAAAAACUUAGACCUAACUUAUAUUACUUAUGCCUAGUUAAAUAAAAUUAGGUCUAGCUAAAAAAUACUCAGGCCUAGAUUUAAAACUUAGGUCUAAGUUAAAUUACUUAAGCCUAACUCAGACUAAGCUUAAAAACUUGACCCUAAUUUAAAAAGCUCACGAUAAGUGUCGGAGGAGAAUGAUACGCAGCCGAAAAUAAUGAAGAUUGGUUGAUGGGACACUUCAACUUGGGUGUCAAAGCUACUUCCGUUAAUGACGUGAGCGAAAUAAAAUCGUGCGAAAUUGACUCCCAAGCUGAAGUGCCCCAAUUUUGGCAUAUUUACAGGACAAUCAGCCCCCAAAUUGAGUGAGAGUGAUCAGGAGAAGAAUUUAAAGUGAAUUUAUGAAGAAAGAAAUUGUGAAGUGAAUUAAUAAUUAAUAAAGUUGUGAAGAAAAGUAUUCCGAAGAUCCACGUGUUGAUUAUUUUGCUGCCCACACACCUUCUACAGUCUCUGGCCCAAAGGAUCUUGCCCGCUGAGGAUCAAAAAUUUGAUCCUUCGGCCGGGAUAGGCCAUAAUUAAUAUUUGCUUGUGUAUUUCAAGGUGUGUUCUGGGCAUCUUCAUUGUUAUCAUAUUGGUUUGGCAUUCCCACUAAUUCAACUCUACGUAUCAUUCAAGGUGUGUGGAACCCUGCGAAUAGACGAUUGUUAUUGGAAUUGGGAUUGGAAGGGCUUCAUUAAUUCUGCUUGUAUCGUUAAAGGUGUGUUCUGGGCAUCUUCAUUGUUAUCAUAUUGGUUUGGCAUUCCCACUAAUUCAACUCUACGUAUCAUUCAAGGUGUGUGGAACCCUGCGAAUAGACGAUUGUUAUUGGAAUUGGGAUUGGAAGGGCUUCAUUAAUUCUGCUUGUAUCGUUAAAGGUACUGUACUAUAGAAGGAUUGCACAAGGCGUGCACAUUUGGUCCUUCGAGCCGGAGAUAGGCCAUAAUUAAUAUUUGCUUGUGUAUUUCAAGGUACUGUACUAUAGAAGGAUUGCACAAGGCGUGCACAAUAAGGUUAAAAAACUUAGACCUAGUUUAAAAAGAUUACUCCUAGUUUGACAAACUUAGGCCUAGUUUAAAGAAACUCAGGCUAAGCUUAAAAAACUUAGAUUUAGCUUAAACUGCUUAAACCUAGAUUAAAAUUAAUCAGGUUUAGUUUAAAAAUCUCGGCCCUAGUUUAAAACACUUAGGAAUUCCUAAAAUAAAACUUAGGCUUAAAAAAAUAAAGCCUGGUUUAAGAAAACUCAAACCAGACUUAUUUGUGCA